UACAGAGGGGGCAAGCGUUAUUCGGAAUUAUUGGGCGUAAAGGGCGCGUAGGCGGCCCUGUAAGUCCGCUGUGAAAAGUCAAGGGCUUAACCCCGAGCCUGCAGUGGAUACGGGCAGACUAGAGGUAGGUAGGGGAGAAUGGAAUUCCCGGUGUGAGCGGUGAAAUGCGCAGAUAUCGGGAAGGAACACCGGUGGCGAAGGCGGUUCUCUGGGCCUU
rnacentral:rRNA from 1 species